AGCACCACAACAGGUGGAGCCUACGGUUUAAUCGGACUCAACGCCGGGAAGCUCACCGGAUAAGACAGCGGAAUGAUAGCCGGGCUGAAGACUCUGCUUGACUAGCUGAGAGGAGGUGCAUGGCCGUCGUCAGUUCGUACUGUGAAGCAUCCUGUUAAGUCAGGCGACGAGCGAGACCCACGCCAACAGUUGCCAGCAUGUCCUCCGGGAUGGUGGGGACACUGUUGGGACCGCCUCUGCUAAAGAGGAGGAAGGAAUGGGCAACGGUAGGUCAGCAUGCCCCGAAUUAUCCGGGCUACACGCGGGCUACAAUGGUCAGGACAAUGGGCAUCAACACCGAAAGGUGAAGGCAAUCUCUUAAACCUGUCCUUAGUUCGGAUUGUGGGCUGCAACUCGCCCACAUGAAGCUGGAAUCUGUAGUAAUCGUGUCUCAAAAUGGCACGGUGAAUAUGUCCCUGCUCCUU
rnacentral:rRNA from 1 species